rnacentral:rRNA from 1 species
UACGGAGGGCGCAAGCGUUGUUCGGAAUUACUGGGCGUAAAGCGCGUGUAGGCGGCUUGGAAAGUCGGGGGUGAAAUCCCGGAGCUCAACUCCGGAACUGCAUCCGAUACUGCCAAGCUCGAGUCUCGGAGAGGAUGGCGGAAUUUCCGGUGUAGAGGUGAAAUUCGUAGAUAUCGGAAGGAACACCAGUGGCGAAGGCGGCCGUCUGGACGAUGACUGACGCUGAGACGCGAAAGCGUGGGGAGCAAACAGG